rnacentral:rRNA from 1 species
GACGAAGGAUGCAAGCGUUAUCCGGAUUCAUUGGGUUUAAAGGGAGCGUAGGUGGCCUGGUAAGUCAGUGGUGAAAUCUUCCCGCUUAACGAGAAAACUGCCAUUGAUACUGCUAGGCUUGAGUACAGAUGCCGUUGGCGGAAUAUGACAUGUAGUGGUGAAAUACAUAGAGAUGUCAUAGAACACCGAUUGCGAAGGCAGCUAACGAAACUGUAACUGACACUGAGGCUCGAAAGUGCGGGGAUCAAACAGG